rnacentral:rRNA from 1 species
GACGAACGCUGGCGGCGUGCUUAACACAUGCAAGUCGAACGAAGUGUCGAACGGGUGAGUAACGCGUAAUCCACCUGCCCUUCAGAGGGGGACAACAGUUGGAAACGACUGCUAAUACCGCAUACUGAAGGAGGGGAUUGCGUCUGAUUAGCUAGUUGGAGGGGGAACGUCCCAACAAGGCGAUGAUCAGUCGCCGGUCUGAGAGGGUGAACUGCCACAUGGGGACUGAGACACGGCCCAGACUCCUACGGGAGGCAGCAGUGGGGAAUCUGCCGCAAUGGACGAAAGUCUGACGGAGCAACGCCGCGUGAGGUAUGACGGCCUUCGGGUUGUAAAGCGCUGUUAAGCGGGACGCGGUACCGGAAUAGAAAGCCACGGCUAACUACGUGCCAGCAGCCGCGGUAAUAC